AUCUUACGGGAGAUACUUGCAGAAGUAUCAGAUACUCAGAAGGUCUGAGGCCUUCUGAAGUUGCCUGGUGUUUCCUGAUGGUCUGAGGAACAUCUCAGAAGUACAGGCUGCUCCAGAGUUACAUAGCAGUGUUCUGGAAGAGCUCAUGCAUGAACUGAGAAGAACUAUAUUUUCACACAGUUGAAAUGAGCAAUUUAGGAAACUUAAUUAUACAUCUUAAAUGCAUUUGGUUCCUUCUUUUUGUAUCUUUUUUUUCCUUAGUACAGUUUGAAAACUGUCCAGAAGAUCUUCUGUCUGCUGUUCCUAAACAUAAUGUCAAACCAUGUGUCAGCAGGAAGGCUGUGGUUUUCAAGUUUUCUUGGGCAUAUUCUCCCCUGCUUUUACUGUGCAGGUGACAAAAUACUUAAAACAUCAGCUCAUUAUUCUGAACUGUUAUGAUGUAAUAUGCUAUGUUAAACAUGCUAUAAUGUAACAAUUGCUAUAGCAACUAUUCACUUUUUGUUCAAAAAUAGAAAUAAAUAGUUGACAUCUUGUGGGAAC
rnacentral:lncRNA from 7 species